rnacentral:rRNA from 1 species
UACGUAGGGGGCGAGCGUUGUCCGAAGUUACUGGGCGUAAAGAGCGCGUAGGCGGUCUCUUAAGUGACUGGUGAAAUCCCCGAGCUCAACUCGGGAGUGUCUGGUCAUACUGGGAGACUGGAGUACGGGAGGGGAGAGCGGAACUCCUGGUGUAGCGGUGAUAUGCGUAGAGAUCAGGAAGAACACCCGUGGCGAAGGCGGCUCUCUGGACCGUAACUGACGCUGAGGCGCGAAAGCCAGGGGAG